rnacentral:rRNA from 1 species
UUGAAGAGUUUGAUCAUGGCUCAGAUUGAACGCUGGCGGCAGGCCUAACACAUGCAAGUCGAACGGUAACAGGAAGCAGCUUGCUGCUUUGCUGACGAGUGGCGGACGGGUGAGUAAUGUCUGGGAAACUGCCUGAUGGAGGGGGAUAACUACUGGAAACGGUGGCUAAUACCGCAUAACGUCGCAAGACCAAAGAGGGGGACCUUCGGGCCUCUUGCCAUCAGAUGUGCCCAGAUGGGAUUAGCUAGUUGGUGAGGUAACGGCUCACCAAGGCGACGAUCCCUAGCUGGUCUGAGAGGAUGACCAGCCACACUGGAACUGAGACACGGUCCAGACUCCUACGGGAGGCAGCAGUGGGGAAUAUUGCACAAUGGGCGCAAGCCUGAUGCAGCCAUGCCGCGUGUAUGAAGAAGGCCUUCGGGUUGUAAAGUACUUUCAGCGGGGAGGAAGGUGUUGUGGUUAAUAACCGCAGCAAUUGACGUUACCCGCAGAAGAAGCACCGGCUAACUCCGUGCCAGCAGCCGCGGUAAUACGGAGGGUGCAAGCGUUAAUCGGAAUUACUGGGCGUAAAGCGCACGCAGGCGGUCUGUCAAGUCGGAUGUGAAAUCCCCGGGCUCAACCUGGGAACUGCAUUCGAAACUGGCAGGCUUGAGUCUUGUAGAGGGGGGUAGAAUUCCAGGUGUAGCGGUGAAAUGCGUAGAGAUCUGGAGGAAUACCGGUGGCGAAGGCGGCCCCCUGGACAAAGACUGACGCUCAGGUGCGAAAGCGUGGGGAGCAAACAGGAUUAGAUACCCUGGUAGUCCACGCCGUAAACGAUGUCUACUUGGAGGUUGUGCCCUUGAGGCGUGGCUUCCGGAGCUAACGCGUUAAGUAGACCGCCUGGGGAGUACGGCCGCAAGGUUAAAACUCAAAUGAAUUGACGGGGGCCCGCACAAGCGGUGGAGCAUGUGGUUUAAUUCGAUGCAACGCGAAGAACCUUACCUGGUCUUGACAUCCACAGAACUUUCCAGAGAUGGAUUGGUGCCUUCGGGAACUGUGAGACAGGUGCUGCAUGGCUGUCGUCAGCUCGUGUUGUGAAAUGUUGGGUUAAGUCCCGCAACGAGCGCAACCCUUAUCCUUUGUUGCCAGCGAUUAGGUCGGGAACUCAAAGGAGACUGCCAGUGAUAAACUGGAGGAAGGUGGGGAUGACGUCAAGUCAUCAUGGCCCUUACGACCAGGGCUACACACGUGCUACAAUGGCGCAUACAAAGAGAAGCGACCUCGCGAGAGCAAGCGGACCUCAUAAAGUGCGUCGUAGUCCGGAUUGGAGUCUGCAACUCGACUCCAUGAAGUCGGAAUCGCUAGUAAUCGUGGAUCAGAAUGCCACGGUGAAUACGUUCCCGGGCCUUGUACACACCGCCCGUCACACCAUGGGAGUGGGUUGCAAAAGAAGUAGGUAGCUUAACCUUCGGGAGGGCGCUUACCACUUUGUGAUUCAUGACUGGGGUGAAGUCGUAACAAGGUAACCGUAGGGGAACCUGCGGUUGGAUCACCUCCUU